GAUGAACGCUGGCGGCGUGCCUAAUACAUGCAAGUCGAGCGAACAGACGAGGAGCUUGCUCCUCUGACGUUAGCGGCGGACGGGUGAGUAACACGUGGAUAACCUACCUAUAAGACUGGGAUAACUUCGGGAAACCGGAGCUAAUACCGGAUAAUAUAUUGAACCGCAUGGUUCAAUAGUGAAAGACGGUUUUGCUGUCACUUAUAGAUGGAUCCGCGCCGCAUUAGCUAGUUGGUAAGGUAACGGCUUACCGAAGCAACGAUGCGUAGCCGACCUGAGAGGGUGAUCGGCCACACUGGAACUGAGACACGGUCCAGACUCCUACGGGAGGCAGCAGUAGGGAAUCUUCCGCAAUGGGCGAAAGCCUGACGGAGCAACGCCGCGUGAGUGAUGAAGGUCUUCGGAUCGUAAAACUCUGUUAUUAGGGAAGAACAAAUGUGUAAGUAACUAUGCACGUCUUGACGGUACCUAAUCAGAAAGCCACGGCUAACUACGUG
rnacentral:rRNA from 1 species